rfam:Pteropus alecto contig101207, whole genome shotgun sequence.
GACUCCGUAGUGUACUGGUUAGCACAUCUGUUUUGCACACAGAAGGUCCUGGGUUCGCACCCCAGGUGGAGCCG